rnacentral:rRNA from 1 species
UCUAGAAAAAAUCUAAAGUGCAACCUGCCCAAUGAUUUUUAAAUAAAAAGAAAUAAACUUCUUAAAAAAAAUUAAAAGGACGCAGUAAACUGACUGUGAUAAUGUAGCAUAAUCACUCGCCAUUUAAUUGAUGGAUGGAAUGAAAGGUUCAACGAAUUCCUCACUGUCUCAAGAAAAGAAUUUUUAAAAUUAAAAUAAUAGUUAAGAUGCUAUUUAAAAUUGUAAGACGAAAAGACCCUAUAGAGCUUAACUAUAACCUUCUUAAAUAGUAAGAAGAUUGGUAGUUUAGUUGGGGCGACUAUCUUUUAAAAACAACAAAGACGAGCAAAAUAAAUAGUGCUAUUUAUUGUAAAAAUAAUAAAUUUAACAAUUACUAAAGUAGGCUAUAAUGACCCGUUACAAAUUAGUGAAAAUCGUAACGAUUAACAAAUAAAAGCUACCUUAGGGAUAACAGGAUAAUUUUGUUUUAGAGACCCUAUCGAAAACAAAGUUUGUCACCUCUAUGUUGAAUUGAGAUAACCUAGUAAAGCAGAAUUUACUGAAGGUAAGU